rnacentral:rRNA from 1 species
CCUACGGGAGGCAGCAGUGGGGAAUAUUGGGCAAUGGGCGCAAGCCUGACCCAGCAACGCCGCGUGAAGGAAGAAGGCCUUCGGGUUGUAAACUUCUUUUAAUAGGGAAGAGCAGAAGACGGUACCUCUUGAAUAAGCCACGGCUAACUACGUGCCAGCAGCCGCGGUAAUACGGAGGUGGCAAGCGUUGUCCGGAUUUAGUGGGUGUAAAGGGCGUGUAGCCGGGCUGACAAGUGAGAUGUGAAAUCCGGGGGCUCAACCCCCGAACUGCAUUUGAAACUGGUGGUCUUGAGUAUCGGAGAGGCAGGCGGAAGUCCUCGAGUAGCGGUGAAAUGCGUAGAUAUUAGGAGGAACACCGGUGGCGAAGGCGGCCUGCUGGACGGCAACUGACGGUGAGGCGCGAAAGCGUGGGGAGCAAACAGGAUUAGAUACCCUUGUAGUC